ensembl:miRNA dre-mir-1788 dre-mir-1788
UCAACCACUGUCUUGUAUCCGAGGCUUGUUUUAAGUUGCCUGCGAUCUCUUAAUGACUCAGGCAGCUAAAGCAAGUCUGGGAGGCCAGAGACAACACGACA